AGCGAAAACCUUACGUGGGCUCGAAAUGCAGUGGACCGGGGUGGAAACAUCCCUUCCCCUUAAAAGGCUGCUGCAUAGGUGCUGCAUGGCUGUCGUCAGCUCGUGUCGUGAGAUGUUGGGUUAAGUCCCGCAACGAGCGCAACCCUUAUCCCUAGUUGCCAUCGGGUCAAGCCGGGCACUCUAGUGAAACUGCCUGGGAUAACCAGGAGGAAGGUGGGGAUGACGUCAAGUCCUCAUGGCCUUUAUGUCCAGGGCUACACACGUGCUACAAUGGUCGGUACAAACCGUCGCAAACCCGCGAGGGGGAGCUAAUCGGAAAAAGCCGGCCUCAGUUCGGAUUGGAGUCUGCAACUCGACUCCAUGAAGCUGGAAUCGCUAGUAAUCGCGGAUCAGAACGCCGCGGUGAAUACGUUCCCGGGUCUUGUACACACCG
rnacentral:rRNA from 1 species